rnacentral:rRNA from 1 species
GAUGAACGCUGACAGAAUGCUUAACACAUGCAAGUCUACUUGAACUUCGGUUUGGGUGGCGGACGGGUGAGUAACGCGUACAGAACUUGCCUCACAGUUAGGGACAACAUUUGGAAACGAAUGCUAAUACCUGAUAUUAUGAUAUUAGGGCAUCCUAGGAUUAUGAAAGCUAUAUGUGCUGUGAGAGAGCUUUGCGUCCCAUUAGCUAGUUGGAGAGGUAACGGCUCACCAAGGCGAUGAUGGGUAGCCAGCCUGAGAGGGUGAACGGCCACAAGCGGACUGAGGCGCGACCCUUACUCAUACUGGAGGCAUGAGUGGGGAAUAUGCGGCAAUGGACCAAAAGUCUGAUGCAGCUAUUCUGUGUGCACGAUGACGUUUUUCGGAAAGUAAAGUGCUUUCAGUUAGGAAGAAAAAAAUGACGGUACCAACAGAAGAAGCGACGGCUAAAUACGUG